rnacentral:rRNA from 1 species
UACGUAGGGUGCAAGCGUUGUCCGGAAUUAUUGGGCGUAAAGAGCUCGUAGGCGGUUCGUCGCGUCGGCUGUGAAAACCCGGAGCUCAACUCCGGGCCUGCAGUCGAUACGGGCGGACUAGAGUUCGGCAGGGGAGACUGGAAUUCCUGGUGUAGCGGUGAAAUGCGCAGAUAUCAGGAGGAACACCGGUGGCGAAGGCGGGUCUCUGGGCCGAUACUGACGCUGAGGAGCGAAAGCCAGGGGAGCAAACGGG